UGGUUCUGGCAUCGAUGAAGAACGCAGCGAAAUGCGAUAAGUAAUGUGAAUUGCAGAAUUCAGUGAAUCAUCGAAUCUUUGAACGCAUAUUGCGCCCCUUGGUAUUCCGGGGGGCAUGCCUGUUCGAGCGUCAUUACACCCCUCAAGCCUGGCUUGGUAUUGAGCCUCGUCGUUCUCGCGGCGGGCCCUAAAAUCAGUGGCGGUGCCCCCGUGGCCCUGAGCGUAGUAAAUCUCCUCGCUUCUGGACCCGGUGGUCGCUGGCCAGCAACCCCCAACUUUCUAAGUUUGACCUCGGAUCAGGUAGGGAUACCCGCUGA
rnacentral:misc_RNA from 1 species